UACUCGUAACGUGUCGUGAUUUUUGUGUUGCAGUCUACAAUGCAUUGCUUCAAACUGUUAAGCAUUAUGAUGCUACUAGCUAUCACCAUUGACUUGUGCGUUGGUGCCAUCAAUUCGAACUCCGGACCCCAAUCUGCGGAACAUGAUAACGGUGCCUGACAACUGUCCUGAAGGACAAGAGUACAUAAACGGCCAUUGUCGCGACGUGUGGUAACAAGAGGGUAACAAAUCAAGCUUGAGUGUAAAGGACCUUAUUCUACAUCAUUUCAUUUAAUUCGGUACCAAAAUGAUUUAUCUGCGCGAGUUGAGCUACAAGCGCGACGUUGUUAGGUAUUUGUAUUGGAAUUACCUAAGUUAUCGUUUUUUAAAGGUCCUUGUACAAUAUCAGGCGAAACUUGAACCAUGAUUCAAUAAAUUUAUUUUUGUGUAAAAAA